rnacentral:rRNA from 1 species
CCUACGGGAGGCAGCAGUGGGGAAUAUUGCACAAUGGGCGAAACCCUGAUGCAGCCACGCCGCGUGAGUGAAGAAGUAUCUCGGUACGUAAAGCUCUAUCAGCAGGGAAGAAAAUGACGGUACUUGACAAAGUAGCCCCGGCCAACUACGUCCCAGCAGCCGCGGUAAUACGUCGGGGGCAAGCGUUAUCCGGAUUUACUGGUGGUAAAGGGAACGGAGACGGCUGCACAAGUCAGGAGUGAAAGCCCGGGGCUUAACCCCGGAAUUGCUUUGGAAACUGGGCGGCUGGAGUGCAGGAGGGGUAGGUAGAAUUCCUAGUGUAGCGGUGAAAUGCGUAGAGAUGAGGAGGAACACCGGUGGCGAAGGCGGCUUACUGGACUAUGACUGACGUUGAGGUGCGAAAGCGUGGGGAGCAAACAGGAUUAGAUACCCUAGUAGUC